rnacentral:rRNA from 1 species
UUGGAGGGCAAGUCUGGUGCCAGCAGCCGCGGUAAUUCCAGCUCCAAUAGCGUAUAUUAAAGUUGUUGCAGUUAAAAAGCUCGUAGUUGAAUUUCGGGAUUGACGUGAUGGUCAUGCCUUAAGGGGUAUGAACUGUUGCAGUUGAUUUCUCACCUUCUGGAGAAACUUGAUGUCCUUUAUUGGGUGUCUUGCGGAUCCAGGACCUUUACCUUGAAAAAAUUAGAGUGUUUAAAGCAGGCAUUUUUGCUCGAAUACAUUAGCAUGGAAUAAUAGAAUAGGACGGCAUGGUUCUAUUUUGUUGGUUUCUAGGAUCACCGUAAUGAUUAAUAGGGAUAGUUGGGGGCAUUAGUAUUCAAUUGUCUGAGGUGAAAUUCUUGGAUUUAUUGAAGACUAACUACUGCGAAAGCAUUUGCCAAGGAUGUUUUCAUUAAUCAAGAACGAAAGUUAGGGGAUCGAAGACGAUCAGAUACCGUCGUAGUCUUAACCAUAAACUAUGCCGACUAGGAAUCAGACGAUGUUAAUUUUUUAAUGACUCGUUUGGCACCUUACGGGAAACCAAAGUGUUUGGGUUC